rnacentral:lncRNA from 1 species
AAGAUUAAAACAGAGGCGAUGGAUCCAAGGGCUCUCAAGACGACACACAAUCAUCUUCUUCCUUGAGCCAAACCCUAACCAUAAUCAUGCAGAAAACGCAGGAAAUGCAGUGUGUUUCUCUCAACUUCAACACAAAAAUACGAACACCAUAGUGCAUCAAAAAACAUGAAACAAAACCCAGAUCUCAAGUACAAAAUGC